AGCAGUACCGCGGUAAUACGUAGGUGGCAAGCGUUGUCCGGAAUUAUUGGGCGUAAAGGGCUCGCAGGCGGUUCCUUAAGUCUGAUGUGAAAGCCCCCGGCUCAACCGGGGAGGGUCAUUGGAAACUGGGAAACUUGAGUGCAGAAGAGGAGAAUGGAAUUCCACGUUUAGCGGUGAAAUGCGUAGAGAUGUGGAGGAACACCAGUGGCGAAGGCGACUCUCUGGUCUGUAACUGACGCUGAGGAGCGAAAGCGUGGGGAGCGAACAGGAUUAGAUACCCCUGUAGUCCCUGUCUCUUAUACA
rnacentral:rRNA from 1 species